UAAAACGUAGGUACCGAGCGUUAUCCGGAUUUACUGGGCGUAAAGCGCGUUCAGGCGGCUUGGCAAGUCGGGCAUGAAAUCCUUCGGCUCAACCGGGGGAGGCUGUCCGAUACUGCUGGGCUGGAGGGCAGUAGAGGGUGGUGGAAUUCCGGGUGUAGUGGUGAAAUGCGUAGAGAUCCGGAGGAACACCAGUGGCGCAAGCGGCCACCUGGACUGUACCUGACGCUGACACGCGAAAGCUAGGGGAGCGAACGGGAUUAGAAACCCCGGUAGUCCUAGCUAUAAACGAUGUUGACUAGGUGUCGACGGUCUAAACCCCGCCGGUGCCGCAGCUAACGCACUAAGUCAACCGCCUGGGGACUACGGCCGCAAGGUUA
rnacentral:rRNA from 1 species